GAAAAAUAAAUAGCCGCAGUACCCUGACUGUGCAAAGGUAGCAUAAUCAAUUGGCUUUUAAUUAAAGUCUGGUAUGAAUGAAAAUAUGGGUGGUAGCUGUCUCUAGCAUACUCGUUUGAACUUACUUAGCAAGUGCAAAUACUUGCAAACUUCAAAAAGACGAGAAGACCCUAGAAACUUAAAUAAGUUUUUGUUGGGGCGACAGAAUUACAGUUAACUAAUUUUUAAAGACAUGACACUCAGUUGAAAGAAUAAGUUACUCUAGGGAUAACAGCAUAAUUUUAAUAGUUUGUGACCUCGAUGUUGGACUAGGUAUUGUACCCUUAAGGCAAGAGUAUAAGAUGCUCUGUUCGAGCAGUUUUACCUACGUGAUCUGAGUC
rnacentral:rRNA from 1 species